rnacentral:snRNA from 1 species
GGAUGUGAGGGCGAUCUGGCUGUGACAUCUGUCACCCCAUUGAUCACCAGGGUUGAUUUGGCUGAUCUGACUGGCUAGGUGGGUGUCUCCUCCCUCCCUCACCACUACAUGUGCGUCCCUCCUAACGCUGUGUGCUCGGCUGAAGAGGACGACCUUCCCUGAUGGGGGUGUAUUGUUCAUUGGUCAAGGGUGUAUGGUAGCUGCGCUCCCCUGCUAGAAUCUCCAAACAAACUCAAGGUCCAUGUGUAGGAGAACGUAGGGUAGUCAAGCUUCCAAGACUGCAGACACAUCCAAGUGAGGCACUGCAUGGGGCAGUCUGCCGUUGUU